UACGUAGGGUGCGAGCGUUAAUCGGAAUUACUGGGCGUAAAGCGUGCGCAGGCGGUUCGUUGUGUCGGCGGUGAAAGCCCCGGGCUCAACCUGGGAAUGGCAUUGGAAACUGGCGACCUAGAGUGCGGUAGAGGGUAGUGGAAUUCCCGGUGUAGCAGUGAAAUGCGUAGAGAUCGGGAGGAACAUCCGUGGCGAAGGCGACUACCUGGACCAGCACUGACACUGAGGCACGAAAGCGUGGGGAGCAAACAGG
rnacentral:rRNA from 1 species